UACGUAGGGGUGCAAGCGUUUGUCCGGAAUUAUUGGGCGUAAAGAGCUUGUAGGCGGUUUGUCGCGUCUGCUGUGAAAUUUCGGGGCUCAACCCCGAACUUGCAGUGGGUACGGGGCAGACUAGAGUGUGGUAGGGGAGACUGGAAUUCCUGGUGUAGCGGUGAAAUGCGCAGAUAUCAGGAGGAACACCGAUGGCGAAGGCAGGUCUCUGGGCCAUAACUGACGCUGAGAAGCGAAAGCAUGGGGAGCGAACAGG
rnacentral:rRNA from 1 species